UGGGGAAUAUUGGGCAAUGGGCGAAAGCCUGACCCAGCAACGCCGCGUGAAGGAAGAAGGUCUUCGGAUUGUAAACUUCUUUUAUGAGGGACGAAGGACGUGACGGUACCUCAUGAAUAAGCCACGGCUAACUACGUGCCAGCAGCCGCGGUAAUACGUAGGGGGCGAGCGUUGUUCGGAAUCAUUGGGCGUAAAGGGUGCGCAGGUGGCCUUUCAAGUCUGGCGUUAAAGUUCGGGGCUCAACUCCGUGAUGCGCUGGAAACUGGAGGGCUAGAGUACAGCAGGGGGCAUCGGAAUUCCAGGUGUAGGGGUGAAAUCUGUAGAUAUCUGGAAGAACACCGGUGGCGAAGGCGGAUGCCUGGGCAUGUACUGACACUGAGGCACGAAGGUGCGGGGAGCAAAACAGGUUUAGAUACCCUGGUAGU
rnacentral:rRNA from 1 species